AACGAACGCUGGCGGCAGGCUUAACACAUGCAAGUCGAGCGCCCCGCAAGGGGAGCGGCAGACGGGUGAGUAACGCGUGGGAAUGUGCCCUUUGGUGGGGGAUAACAGCGCGAAAGCGGUGCUAAUCCCGCAUACGGUCCCCUUCGGGGGAGGAAAGCUUUACAGCGCCGAAGGAGCAGCCCGCGGCCCAUCAGGUCGUUGGUGGGGUAAUGGCCUACCAAGCCGAUGACGGGUAGCUGGUCUGAGAGGACAGACAGCCAGACUGGGACUGAGACACGGCCCAGACUCCUACGGGAGGCAGCAGCAAGGAAUUUUCGUCAAUGGGCGCAAGCCUGAACGAGCAACGCCGCGUGGGGGAUGACGGCCUUCGGGUUGUAAACCCCUUUUUGGGGGGACGAUAAUGACGGUACCCCCGGAAUAAGCCCCGGCUAACUCUGUGCCAGCCGCCGCGGUAAAAC
rnacentral:rRNA from 1 species